rnacentral:rRNA from 1 species
AGGACGAACGCUGGCGGCGUGCUUAACACAUGCAAGUGGUGCGACGAACCAGAGCUUGCUCUGGGGCAAAGCCGCGAACGGGUGAGUAACACGUGGGUAACCUGCCCCGAUGACCGGGACAACCCGAGGAAACUCGGGCUAAUACCGGAUGACGUGCCGAGGUUUAAGCCUCUGUACUAAAGGAAGCUUCGGCCUCCGCAUUGGGAGGGGCCCGCGGCCCAUUAGCUAGUUGGUGGGGUAACGGCCUACCAAGGCAACGAUGGGUAGCUGGUCUGAGAGGACGAUCAGCCACACUGGGACUGAGACACGGCCCCAGACUCCUACGGGAGGCAGCAGUGGGGAAUCUUGCGCAAUGCGCGAAAGCGUGACGCAGCAACGCCGCGUGGGGGAAGACGGCCUUCGGGUUGUAACCCCUUUCUAGGAGGGACGAAGGUUCGCCGGUGAAUAGCCGUGCGGAUUGACGGUACCUCCACAAGAAGGUCCGGCUAACUACGUGCCAGCAGCCGCGGU